rnacentral:rRNA from 1 species
AAACUGUUGCCUCGGCGGGAUCUCUGCCCCGGGUGCGUCGCAGCCCCGGACCAAGGCGCCCGCCGGAGGACCAACCAAAACUCUUUUUGUAUACCCCCUCGCGGGUUUUUUAUAAUCUGAGCCUUCUCGGCGCCUCUCGUAGGCGUUUCGAAAAUGAAUCAAAACUUUCAACAACGGAUCUCUUGGUUCUGGCAUCGAUGAAGAACGCAGCGAAAUGCGAUAAGUAAUGUGAAUUGCAGAAUUCAGUGAAUCAUCGAAUCUUUGAACGCACAUUGCGCCCGCCAGUAUUCUGGCGGGCAUGCCUGUCCGAGCGUCAUUUCAACCCUCGAACCCCUCCGGGGGGUCGGCGUUGGGGAUCGGCCCUCCCUUAGCGGGUGGCCGUCUCCGAAAUACAGUGGCGGUCUCGCCGCAGCCUCUCCUGCGCAGUAGUUUGCACACUCGCAUCGGGAGCGCGGCGCGUCCACAGCCGUUAAACACCCAACUUCUGAAAUGUUGAC